AUUGAACGCUGGCGGAAUGCUUUACACAUGCAAGUCGAACGGCAGCACGGACUUCGGUCUGGUGGCGAGUGGCGAACGGGUGAGUAAUGUAUCGGAACGUGCCCAGUCGUGGGGGAUAACGUAGUGAAAAUUACGCUAAUACCGCAUACGACCUAUGGAUGAAAGCGGGGGAUCGCAAGACCUCGCGCGAUUGGAGCGGCCGAUAGCAGAUUAGGUAGUUGGUGGGGUAAAGGCCCCCCAAGCCAACGAUCUGUAGCUGGUCUGAGAGGACGACCAGCCACACUGGAACUGAGACACGGUCCAGACUCCUACGGGAGGCAGCAGUGGGGAAUUUUGGACAACGGGCGAAAGCCUGAUCCAGCCAUUCCGCGUGCAGGAUGAAGGCCCUCGGGUUGUAAACUGCUUUUGUACAGAACGAAAAGGUUUCUACUAAUACUAGGAGCUCAUGACGGUACUGUAAGAAUAAGCACCGGCUAACUACGUGCCAGCCGCCGCAGUAA
rnacentral:rRNA from 1 species